CGCGGCCUAUCAGCUUGUUGGUGAGGUAAUGGCUCACCAAGGCGUCGACGGGUAGCCGGCCUGAGAGGGUGACCGGCCACACUGGGACUGAGACACGGCCCAGACUCCUACGGGAGGCAGCAGUGGGGAAUAUUGCACAAUGGGCGAAAGCCUGAUGCAGCAACGCCGCGUGAGGGAUGACGGCCUUCGGGUUGUAAACCUCUUUUAGCAGGGAAGAAGCGAAAGUGACGGUACCUGCAGAAAAAGCGCCGGCUAACUACGUGCCAGCAGCCGCGGUAAUACGUAGGGCGCAAGCGUUAUCCGGAAUUAUUGGGCGUAAAGAGCUCGUAGGCGGUUUGUCGCGUCUGCUGUGAAAUCCCGAGGCUCAACCUCGGGCCUGCAGUGGGUACGGGCAGACUAGAGUGCGGUAGGGGAGAUUGGAAUUCCUGGUGUAGCGGUGGAAUGCGCAGAUAUCAGGAGGAACACCGAUGGCGAAGGCAGAUCUCUGGGCCGUAACUGACGCUGAGGAGCGAAAGGGUGGGGAGCAAACAGGCUUAGAUACCCUGGUAGUCCACCCCGUAAACGUUGGGAACUAGUUGUGGGGACCAUUCCACGGUUUCCGCGACGCAGCUAACGCAUUAAGUUCCCCGCCUGGGGAGUACGG
rnacentral:rRNA from 1 species